UAUGCGGAGCUGAGGAUGGAACCUGGGCCGUACUCAUGCCAGGAGGCUUCUUGCUUACCAGUUCCUGUGUGCCAAGGCCUGAUCCACCAGCUAUAUACAGCCCUAGUCCAGAGCAAACCUCCGAUGUUUUCAUCAUUGAUUGGGCUGCAGCCAUACCAUCUGAUAGACCUGACUUCAUCAUAAGGAAGGAGAACCUUUUACAAGGAUGUUCUUUCUUUGAGUACUCAUUCUCAGUCCUAGGGUACUGUCUUUCAGUAUAAUAGAAUUCUCUGUUAUCCUCUCUUAUUUAAUUCCAUUAUCACUCAAAUUAAUAAUAUGCUUGUGUCUUCUGACUAAUAUGAGAGUUAAUGUCAUUUCUACUAUUUUCUAUUUGAAGGUUUUUAAAAGAGUUAUACAAGUUUUUGAUCACCCAUUAUAUGUUUUACAUAAAAACAAAUGACUAUUUUUCUUUGUCUAGUUCUUGUACAGAGGAGUCCAAAUUUAUGACAUCAGUCAUGAUUAUAUUGUAUGUUUUACUAAUACACUGAGAUAUUUACAGUAAUAAUCUACAAUCUUAAGAAUAUGCAUAUUACUUCCAAAUAUGUUGACUAAUUUUUCAAGAGAAUACUGGUGAAUACUUGCACAAUGUGAUUUGCUAUAGAAUUUUUAUAAGCUAAUAAAAUGCUUUAAUAACAAAUCAA